rnacentral:rRNA from 1 species
AAAGGGGCUUCGGCCCUGAGUAGAGUGGCAAACGGGUGAGUAACACGUGGGUGACCUACCUUCGAAUGGGGGAUAACGUCCCGAAAGGGACGCUAAUACCGCAUAACAUCCUGCUUUUGAACAGGUGGAGAUCAAAGCUGGGGAUCGCAAGACCUGGCGUUUGAAGAGGGGCCCGCGUCUGAUUAGCUAGUUGGUGAGGUAACGGCCCACCAAGGCGACGAUCAGUAUCCGGCCUGAGAGGGCGGACGGACACACUGGGACUGAGACACGGCCCAGACUCCUACGGGAGGCAGCAGUGGGGAAUUGUUCGCAAUGGGCGCAAGCCUGACGACGCAACGCCGCGUGGAGGAUGAAGGUCUUCGGAUUGUAAACUCCUGUUGCCCGGGACGAAAAGCUUCGACCUAACACGUCGAAGUCUGACGGUACCGGGUGAGGAAGCCCCGGCUAACUCUGUGCCAGCAGCCGCGGUAAUACAGAGGGGGCAAGCGUUGUUCGGAAUUACUGGGCGUAAAGGGCGCGUAGGCGGCCUUCUAAGUCAGACGUGAAAUCCCCGGGCUCAACCCGGGAACUGCGUCUGAUACUGGAAGGCUUGAAUCCGGGAGAGGGAUGUGGAAUUCCAGGUGUAGCGGUGAAAUGCGUAGAUAUCUGGAGGAACACCGGUGGCGAAGGCGGCAUCCUGGACCGGUAUUGACGCUGAGGCGCGAAAGCCAGGGGAGCAAACGGGAUUAGAUACCCCGGUAGUCCUGGCCCUAAACGAUGAAUGCUUGGUGUGGCGGGUAUCGAUCCCUGCCGUGCCGAAGCUAACGCAUUAAG